rnacentral:rRNA from 1 species
UUUAACCUGAUUCUUCGGAUGAAGGUUUUUGUGACUGAGUGGCGGACGGGUGAGUAACGCGUGGGUAACCUGCCUCAUACAGGGGGAUAACAGUUAGAAAUGACUGCUAAUACCGCACAAGACCACGGAGCCACAUGGCUCAGUGGGAAAAACUCCGGUGGUAUGAGAUGGACCCGCGUCUGAUUAGGUAGUUGGUGGGGUAACGGCCUACCAAGCCAACGAUCAGUAGCCGACCUGAGAGGGUGACCGGCCACAUUGGGACUGAGACACGGCCCAAACUCCUACGGGAGGCAGCAGUGGGGAAUAUUGCACAAUGGGGGAAACCCUGAUGCAGCGACGCCGCGUGAGCGAAGAAGUAUUUCGGUAUGUAAAGCUCUAUCAGCAGGGAAGAAAAUGACGGUACCUGACUAAGAAGCACCGGCUAAAUACGUGCCAGCAGCCGCGGUAAUACGUAUGGUGCAAGCGUUAUCCGGAUUUACUGGGUGUAAAGGGAGCGUAGACGGCUGUGUAAGUCUGAAGUGAAAGCCCGGGGCUCAACCCCGGGACUGCUUUGGAAACUAUGCAGCUAGAGUGUCGGAGAGGUAAGUGGAAUUCCCAGUGUAGCGGUGAAAUGCGUAGAUAUUGGGAGGAACACCAGUGGCGAAGGCGGCUUACUGGACGAUGACUGACGUUGAGGCUCGAAAGCGUGGGGAGCAAACAGGAUUAGAUACCCUGGUAGUCCACGCCGUAAACGAUGACUACUAGGUGUCGGG